GAGUUUGAUCUUGGCUCAGAACGAACGCUGGCGGCAGGCUUAACACAUGCAAGUCGAACGCAUCCUUCGGGGUGAGUGGCAGACGGGUGAGUAACGCGUGGGAACGUGCCCUUCAGUUCGGAAUAACCCAGGGAAACUUGGGCUAAUACCGGAUACGUGCGAGAGCAGAAAGAUUUAUCGCUGAAGGAUCGGCCCGCGUCUGAUUAGCUAGUUGGUGAGGUAAUGGCUCACCAAGGCGACGAUCAGUAGCUGGUCUGAGAGGAUGAUCAGCCACAUUGGGACUGAGACACGGCCCAAACUCCUACGGGAGGCAGCAGUGGGGAAUAUUGGACAAUGGGCGCAAGCCUGAUCCAGCCAUGCCGCGUGAGUGAUGAAGGCCUUAGGGUUGUAAAGCUCUUUCAGUGGGGACGGUAAUGACGGUACCCGCAGAAGAAGCCCCGGCUAACUUCGUGCCAGCCGCCGCAGU
rnacentral:rRNA from 1 species